AAACGCUGGGUUGUUUUUUCAACCCAAAUGCUGGGUUGAGACCGCUAGGUAGGACAUUUGGUUGUUUUAACCCAAGUUUGGGUUGAAAAUUGGACUUGAUCAUAACCCAGCUGCGCUGGGUUGUGAACGCGGACGUGAAGGAGAGCACGCACGUCACGUUAAAAUCGUACGUCUCCAGUGCGAGAAGCCGCUAUUUUCACAGCGUGAAAGAAGCGAGAAGCGAGUGAAAGACAUUACGACUUGUUGAGCUCGUGUCUUCAUUGUCCCCGCACUGAGAGUUAAAGACACCUGCUCUUGUGAAGAGUCACGGACUGUGUGAGGAGGAGGCGGUGUUCUCCGCUUCUUCUGAGGAGAGGGACAGACGGGUUUAAGGCAAGUGAACUUCAGAAUUAUAAGUUAUCUUUUUUUUUUACUAAGACUUAAAUAAUGUUUGUUUUUGUAGAUGUUGAAAGCCAGACACAUAGGAGAGCAUCGUUCUUUUGAGAUUUAUAACUCAAGCUAACUUUGGAGUUAAGGACACAGAAGCCUGCUUGUGUGAGGAGGAGGCGGUGUUCUCGGCUUCUGAAGAGAGGGAAAGAUAAUUUAAGGCAAGUGAACUUCAUAAUUUCAUAAUAUCAGUUAUCAGUUGUUUUCUUUUACUAAGAGUAAAAUAAUGUUUGUUUUUUGU